GCCGGGGAACGGCCGCGCUGCGGAAACACCGGCGGUGGCAGGAGCGUUCCGGGGCCGCGGGGAACCGGCCGGACAGGCCGGGAAUGCUCAGGCUCGAGAAGCUGCCUACAAGAGCCACUGGAGUGACAUCCAUGGAAGUGGAUAGCCAGACACCCCUUCUCCCCAGAAGAUGAUGUUCAGCUCCUGUUUUAAUCCCAUCUCUUGGUCCUCGGCUGCAUCCAUGAGCACAAGAAUAAAAACUGUCUUUACAUUUACACUCUCAUGAAGCUGGAGCAGCCUCUGCAGUUCCAGACUCCAGGCUGUGCUCUGAGGGAAGAUGUGUCUUUGGCAUGUCCCUGUUUCAAAGCUGCUGUCUGAACAAUGUGGAGAGCUGAACACACAACUUUCCUUCAUCUGUGUGAUACUCAAGACAGCACCAGAGCUGACACUUGGACAACAAGAAUUUCCCUGUGGUUUCACAUGGAAUAAAUCUCAAUGCCAUGGGAGAAAGCCUGCUUAAGUGAUCAGAGCAGACUAUAGAAAGGAUAAUACCCUGUAAUUUUUAUGGGAAACUUCCUUGUUCUUCAUUAAACUAUUAUCAU